GCUGUGUGCGAGCGAGCGAGCGAGCGAAUAAGCGCAGCAACGUAGCACAUACAUGAGAUGUCUUAUUUUGGCACAUUUGGCACAAACACACUCAAGCGUUUAUUCCAGAAGUACUUUAACAGUGAAACGAUUGUAUUUGCCUUUCGGUAAACAGCACUGAAUAAUCUUAAAUGCGCAGCGUAGCGCCUUGCCACUGGUAUUUCCAGAUAUAAUUUUUGAUAGUUAUUUUACUUAAUAUAAAGCUAAAAAUCCCCCAAAUUUCCAGCCAGCCACUGCCAUCGUGUGGUCAAUAGCGACACGGUCACGUUAGAAAUCAUGUAAACACUUUUUCUUGGGGAAAUUUCAGAGUUCAUGUUGCCUUGAAAAACCUGGAUAUAUGAGCUCAUCAGCAAUCAUCUCAGCGAUGGCCAGAGAGGAGCUUGCAGCGGGUGACGGUGCAUUGCGUACGUGCAGAACCCGGCUGCCCAGCUCCCCCUUCCCACCGUCAAACACAAAAUCAUCCACCAGGUUUCCUUCAGCAUCCAAUGCCUGUGCACGAACACCCGACGGACCCCUGCACAAACCAAGAAGCAGAAAAACAAAAUUUACAAACAGGACAGUGCGUGCAGGGCAAAAGCACUACUUGAGAGUGACUGUACAGCAAUAGAGCAGGGUAAAGGUGAGGUUUGGGUGCCUGAGGAUCAGCUCUCUGGCAGAGGCCAGUCCAACAAUCCCUCCACCAAUAACGGCCACAUCAAAUGAGCUACACAACAUAAUGGUCAAUAUUGGAUAUGUAAUCGUGCA